rnacentral:misc_RNA from 1 species
AACGCAUAUUGCGCUCUCCGGCAUUCCGGAGAGCAUGCCUGUUUGAGUAUUGGCCUAAAUGAGAGUCUUCCUUUAAAGAUAUAAAAAAGAACGUUAAGAACCCUCAGUUGAGACUUCUCGACAAUUCAUUGCCGAGUGUUUUAAAAUGCAAUAGUACCGCCACGUUUGCGAACUUGGAGUAAUAUGUGAGCCUGAAAAGGUGACCUCUAUUCUCCUCGGACCACGUAGACCUGUUAAGCGGGAAGUUUUUGAAUGCCGAAUUAUGGGAGACGGUGUUCAAUUGUUCGAGUAACGACGAACGAAAUACACUCAAUCUCAAAUCAGGUAGGAUUACCCGCUGAACUUAA